rnacentral:lncRNA from 10 species
GAUAAUUUUCUGUUAAGUGUUUUUGUUUUUUAUAAUUUUCCAAUUAGUCUUGCUCAUUUUUUAUAUAAACUUUGAAAUCAAUUUUUCUGAUUUUCAAAAGAAAAAAAAUCCUGUUUAGUAUUCUUAGUGGAAUGAAUUAAAUUUCCAUAGCAAUUUAGGGAAAUUUGACUUUCUUAACGUGUUGAGUGUUAAACCCACAGGUGGUAGCAUGACAUUGACUCCUCAGCCAAGCAUAUUAUCAACUGUCGGAAACUAGGUUUUCCCAUAGUGAUCCAAGAAACUAGUACGAAAUGCCUUUCUGAUUUUUUAAAACUUGUAUACAUAUAUAGUACAUAUUAUAUAUACUUAUAUAUUAAGUAAUCAGAAGUAUGUGUUUCUCAAUCACCUUUUAAAGACUUCUUUAUAUAGCUCUUGUACAUUUCUUGAUAUGAAUAUGUUAAUGUUUUCUUUCAUUAUGUUGCAUAUGGCUUUUGUUUUCUGCAUGAAAACUAUUGAUUUCUGCAUUCUAAUUUUGUUCCCAGUCACCUAACUGAAUUCUUCUAACAGUUGUAAUAAAUUUCUGGUUGGCUCUCUUGUG